GUCAGCCUUUUCCUAAGGUUAAAUUGGAGGGGCAGCACGUGGCUUGGUUACGAGGCUGUCAGAGAACAAUCCACAAGGUGACAAGGCUAAGUCGAUACCAAACUACAAGAUCUUGGACCUCCACAGAAGAUGAGUGGUGAUUAACAUGGGGUGAGAUCUUCAAUGGAUAACUUAGGGGCCUGUGUUUUGCACGAGGCACUGUUUUACCUGUAUUUCCAGCAUUAUCCAGCUGGUGUCACUUCAGUCCCUUUAUUUGUUUCAAUCAACCAGCUCACCAAUUUAUCAAAGCAAUAAGGAUUAUUUCCCCAACAUGAUCAAGAUUGCGAAACAAUAUCCCUUUUGCUAAUAAUUCUGUAGAUGUGGGAAGAAUUGUUAAUACAAGGGCUGACUCAUCAAUGGAAAUGUGCUGACCUAAGUGAGAUUCUUUAUUAAUGUUCCUGAUUGUUAUGUAAGUCUGAAACAUUAAAAUAUUUUUAUCAGAUA